rnacentral:rRNA from 1 species
AUUGAACGCUGGCGGCAUGCUUUACACAUGCAAGCCGAACGGCAGCGGGGGCUUCGGCCUGCCGGCGAGUGGCGAACGGGUGAGUAAUGCAUCGGAACGUGCCCAUGUCGUGGGGGAUAACGUAUCGAAAGGUACGCUAAUACCGCAUACGUCCUGAGGGAGAAAGCGGGGGAUUCUUCGGAACCUCGCGCGAUUGGAGCGGCCGAUGUCGGAUUAGCUAGUAGGUGAGGUAAAGGCUCACCUAGGCGACGAUCCGUAGCGGGUCUGAGAGGAUGAUCCGCCACACUGGGACUGAGACACGGCCCAGACUCCUACGGGAGGCAGCAGUGGGGAAUUUUGGACAAUGGGCGCAAGCCUGAUCCAGCCAUGCCGCGUGAGUGAAGAAGGCCUUCGGGUUGUAAAGCUCUUUCGGCCGGGAAGAAAUCGUGUUCUCUAACAUAGGACAUGGAUGACGGUACCGGACUAAGAAGCACCGGCUAACUACGUGCCAGCCGCCGCGGUAAAAC